GUGGGGAAUCUUGCGCAAUGGGCGAAAGCCUGACGCAGCCAUGCCGCGUGAAUGAUGAAGGUCUUAGGAUUGUAAAAUUCUUUCACCGGGGACGAUAAUGACGGUACCCGGAGAAGAAGCUCCGGCUAACUUCGUGCCAGCAGCCGCGGUAAUACGAAGGGGGCUAGCGUUGCUCGGAAUUACUGGGCGUAAAGGGCGCGUAGGCGGACAGCUUAGUCAGAGGUGAAAGCCCAGGGCUCAACCUUGGAAUUGCCUUUGAUACUGGCUGUCUUGAGUUUGGGAGAGGGGAGUGGAACUCCGAGUGUAGAGGUGAAAUUCGUAGAUAUUCGGAAGAACACCAGUGGCGAAGGCGACUCACUGGCCCAAUACUGACGCUGAGGCGCGAAAGCGUGGGGAGCAAACAGGAUUAGAAACCCUGGUAGUCC
rnacentral:rRNA from 1 species